rnacentral:rRNA from 1 species
UGAGGAAUAUUGGUCAAUGGACGAGAGUCUGAACCAGCCAAGUAGCGUGAAGGAUGACUGCCCUAUGGGUUGUAAACUUCUUUUAUACGGGAAUAAAGUGAGGCACGUGUGCCUUUUUGUAUGUACCGUAUGAAUAAGGAUCGGCUAACUCCGUGCCAGCAGCCGCGGUAAUACGGAGGAUCCGAGCGUUAUCCGGAUUUAUUGGGUUUAAAGGGAGCGUAGGCGGACGCUUAAGUCAGUUGUGAAAGUUUGCGGCUCAACCGUAAAAUUGCAGUUGAUACUGGGUGUCUUGAGUACAGUAGAGGCAGGCGGAAUUCGUGGUGUAGCGGUGAAAUGCUUAGAUAUCACGAAGAACUCCGAUUGCGAAGGCAGCUUGCUGGACUGUAACUGACGCUGAUGCUCGAAAGUGUGGGUAUCAAACAGGAUUAGAUACCCUGGUAGUCCACACAGUAAACGAUGAAUACUCGCUGUUUGCGAUAUACAGUAAGCGGCCAAGCGAAAGCGUUAAGUAUUCCACCUGGGGAGUACGCCGGCAACGGUGAAACUCAAAGGAAUUGACGGGGGCCCGCACAAGCGGAGGAACAUGUGGUUUAAUUCGAUGAUACGCGAGGAACCUUACCCGGGCUUGAAUUGCAACUGAAUGAUGUGGAGACAUGUCAGCCGCAAGGCGGUUGUGAAGGUGCUGCAUGGUUGUCGUCAGCUCGUGCCGUGAGGUGUCGGCUUAAGUGCCAUAACGAGCGCAACCCUUAUCGAUAGUUACCAUCAGGUUAUGCUGGGGACUCUGUCGAGACUGCCGUCGUAAGAUGUGAGGAAGGUGGGGAUGACGUCAAAUCAGCACGGCCCUUACGUCCGGGGCUACACACGUGUUACAAUGGGGGGUACAGAAGGCAGCUACACGGCGACGUGAUGCUAAUCCCUAAAGCCUCUCUCAGUUCGGAUUGGAGUCUGCAACCCGACUCCAUGAAGCUGGAUUCGCUAGUAAUCGCGCAUCAGCCACGGCGCGGUGAAUACGUUCCC